CGGGGGAGGCCAGAUCCUGGGCUGUGUCUUGGCGCCCUGUGGUCCUGGUCUGCGCUGUUGGAUUCGUGCUCCCGGCCCCGCAGCCCAAG
rnacentral:pre_miRNA from 1 species